rnacentral:rRNA from 1 species
GCAAAGGUAGCAUAGUCAUUAGUUCUUUAAUUGUGAUCUGGUAUGAAUGGCUUGACGAGGCAUGGGCUGUCUUAAUUUUGAAUUGUUUAUUGAAUUUGGUCUUUGAGUUAAAAUUCUUAGAUGUUUUUAUGGGACGAGAAGACCCUAUAGAGUUUAACAUUUGUUAUGGUCCCCUUUCUGUUUGUGAGGGUUCAUUGGGCCGUUUAAUGUGUUUUGUUGGGGUGAUGGGAGGGAUUAAUUUAACCCCUCCUUUUUAUUAUUAUAUUUAUUUAUAUUUACUUGAUCCAUUUAUUUUGAUUGUAAGAUUAAAUUACCUUAGGGAUAACAGCGUUAUCUUCCUUGAGAGUUCUUAUCGGCAGGGGGGUUUGCG